AUUGAACGCUGGCGGCAGGCCUAACACAUGCACGUCGAGCGGAUGAAGGGAGCUUGCUCCUGGAUUCAGCGGCGGACGGGUGAGUAAUGCCUAGGAAUCUGCCUGGUAGUGGGGGAUAACGUCCGGAAACGGGCGCUAAUACCGCAUACGUCCUGAGGGAGAAAGUGGGGGAUCUUCGGACCUCACGCUAUCAGAUGAGCCUAGGUCGGAUUAGCUAGUUGGUGGGGUAAAGGCCUACCAAGGCGACGAUCCGUAACUGGUCUGAGAGGAUGAUCAGUCACACUGGAACUGAGACACGGUCCGGACUCCUACGGGAGGCAGCAGUGGGGAAUAUUGGACAAUGGGCGAAAGCCUGAUCCAGCCAUGCCGCGUGUGUGAAGAAGGUCUUCGGAUUGUAAAGCACUUUAAGUUGGGAGGAAGGGCAGUAAGUUAAUACCUUGCUGUUUUGACGUUACCAACAGAAUAAGCACCGGCUAACUUCGUG
rnacentral:rRNA from 1 species